AAUGCAUUUUUGUAUAUCUUUUGACUCUGCUUCCAAUCAAGAAAGUAACUUCAUCUUUCAACAUCACUCCUGUCUUUCAAUAAUGCUAUGUGCUUUUGUUUGUCUUCUUACUAUAUAGUUUCUAUGAAAAGAUUGAUUUGAACAUUUUUUACUUUGUUCUUUAUUCCCUAUGCCAGUUCCAGAUUCUUGCCACUGUGGAGCACUCGGGGGAAGAUUUGAUCAUGAAGCCGGUAAUCUCAACGUCUUGUAUCGAUAUCCAGACACAAGGAUAGUCCUUUUAUCUGAUGAAUUGCCUCAUCAAACUCCUUUCAAAGACUCAUCGACAUGAAAUACACAUCUUCACUGUGAACUCAUCCCAAUUCUGCCAAAACUACUACCUCAGGGCUAAAGAUAUGAUCUCACCAACACUGAGAUGAGAUUUGGUGGGUUUGAUAAUUACAUCAAACUUGGGUGAAAGAAGAGAAAAUCACAACCAAGACGUUACGUUGUCCACGUUUGUUUUUCGUCCAUAUCACAAGAAGCUGCCAGCCUGCAGGUUUUAAUACCGCCUUGUUUCUAACUUGUUGUAUAGUACUCCAAAGAAGCUGGAUGGAUGGGCUGAAGGAAGGAAACCGAGUUAUUAAUUGCUUGUACACAGCCAAGUUAUAAUUGCUGUCCCGGUUUGUUUUUGAUCCAUAUCAGAAGCUGUAUGCAGCCAUGCAGGUAUUGCUUUCUUAUUAAUAUUUGAUUUUUUCCAAAAAAAAAUGAAAUGUUUUUUUCUUUUCGUUUUCAAAUUUUAAACUAAAU